rnacentral:lncRNA from 1 species
GGGCUGCCGGGGCUGCGUGACGCCUGCGGCCGCGGGGCGGCGGGCGGCCAAUCAGGGGGCGCGGCCGAGGCAGCCGGGCCCGGGUUUUAAACCAGCUCCUCCGGCGCGCGGCCUCGGAUGAUGUGGGGCGCGUACGCUGUGCGGCUGCCGGAGGGAACGCCGGGCGCCCCGUUAGAUGCGAAUGUCACACAGAAAGGAAUACUUAUUUUGGACAACUCCGGGAUCUGAAGAUAAAGGAAGGAGUAAAUUUGUCUGCAUCCAGCUAUAUCCCCAGAGAGGCAUUCUCCACAGCAACUUGCUUUUCUUAAAUGUCCUAACUGGCUGCCCCACUGCAAAUAGCGCCUCUCCCAUCACAGGAAGAACUCUGCUGUGCUCUCCCAGGUAAGAAGUAUGAGUACUUCACCUGUCAAAUUUGCAUCCUCGUUUCAGAUAUUUACUUUUCACUUUCAUGGUCAAAGUCAUCAGUACUCAGAGCUCCCUUGGAUGCCUAUGAUGGCGUUUUUCUUCUCAGGAAAUAAAAUGGCGAGUUAUAUUAUUUCA